rnacentral:lncRNA from 1 species
CUUCUGCAACAAGAUUUUGGCCUGAAUUACCUGGACAGCUGUCUUAAGUUUCAACUUGACCUGCUAUGCCUGGGAGGUCACAGCUUUACACUGAAUGAGAAAUCAGAGACCCAACUAGUUGCUGUUUUUGUUUUGUUUUGUUUUUAAGAUAAAUUUUAAAUAAACAUUUGUUGAGCUAAAAUGGCUUGGAUUCAAGUUUUUUUAAAAUUUUUAUUUUGCUGGAGUAUAUAGCAUUUGCCUGUACUAUAGGACUGGCAAAAUAGACCAUAGGCCAAGGAGACCUUAUUUGUGUGUAGUGUUUUCACCUGGCAAAUUUUAAGUUACAAAACCACAAUCACAACGACAGAAAAGCAAAAUGCUCAACAAACAAGAGUCUCAGUUUAUUCUAGAUAAAAGGGGCUGUGACUUUUCGAUUUUGGGUUUUGCUACCGAAAAACCUUUCUGACCUAGGCCACAGGAGCCAGCUCCUGCCAUGGGACAUGGGUGCCUGUGACCUGAUUCUUGACUCUAAAGAAAGAUUCUGGGCUGGGGCGUGGUGGCUCACGCCUGUAAUCACAGCACUUUGGGAGGCCGAGGAGGGUGGAUCAACUGAGGUCAGGAGUUCCAGACCAGCCUGGCCAAUAUGGUGAAACCCCGUCUCUACUAAAAAUACAAAAAUCAGCCUGGCGCGGUGGCAGGUGCCUGUAAUCCCAGCUACUCAGGAGGCUGAGGCAGGAGAAUCGCUUCAACCCGGGAGGCCGAGGUUGCAAUGAGCCAAGAUCGUGCCACUGUGCUCCAGCCUGGGUGACAGAGUGAGACACAGUCUGGAAAAAAAAAAAAAAGAAAGAUUCUUUUAAAGGCUUGCAGAACCCUGUUUGAGGACAUUUAGUAGAUGCUUCCUGUGGCUUUCAGGAGGGGUUAGAGUGGGGUUGGGAUUGACACUCCCCCACCCAACUCUAGGCCUCCAAACCCAGAUUUUUUAAUUUUUUAAAAAGAAAGACAAGGCCUUGCUCUGUCGCCCAGGCUGGAAUGCAGUGGUGCCAUCAUAGCUCACUGCAGCCCCAAAAUCCUCCCACCUCAGCCUCCCAAAGUGCUGGGAUUAUAGGUGUGAGCCACCGUGCCCAGCCAAUAUGAGAACCUUAUUUAUUUAUGUAUUUUUGUGUUGACUGAUUGAUUGUAGACAUGGGGGUCUCACUACAUUGCCCAGGCUGGUCUUGAACUCCUAGACUAAGCAAUCUUCCUGCCUCCACCUCCCCAAGUGCUAGGAUGAUAGGUGUGAGCCACUGCACCCGGCUGAGAACUUUUUUAAAUCAAAAAAAGGUCCUUUAGUGGAAUAAACACUUGAUUUCUAAAACUCUUCUGAUUUCUGACAUUCUUAGAAUUUU